UACAGGGGGUGCAAACGUUGCUCGGAAUCAUUGGGCGUAAAGCGCACGUAGGCGGUCUGUUAUGUCGGAUGUGAAAGCCCUUGGCUCAACUGAGGAAGUGCAUCCGAAACUGGCAGGCUAGAGUGCGGGAGAGGAGAGUGGAAUUCCUGGUGUGGCGGUGAAAUGCGCAGAUAUCAGGAAGAACACCCGUGGCGAAGGCGGCUCUCUGGAACGCAACUGACGCUGAGACGCGAAAGCGUGGGGAGCAAACAGG
rnacentral:rRNA from 1 species